GGGAUAACAAGCCGGAAUUCACCUAGUGGCUUGGGACAGGGGAGGCUCACCUAGGAACCAGUCAAACAUUUGCAGAUGAAAUUAGCCCUCUGUGAGGUGCUGUGAAGAACCAGAGGCUGUGGAGGUGGUCAUUUGGCUUCCAGGCACCUUUCCCUGUUUUAACAAGUGUGAAAAACAGCAGAAGCUCAGGGUUCAGCCUGGGGAUUGGUCACAAAAGGCUCACGCUUCUUAGCCAGUCCAAGAGCAAGAACAGGACCUCACCAGCGCCCCCAUACCUCCUUGGCAUACAUAGUCACUUUUUGGGAGUGAGUGGCCAGUUUCUCUGCUAAUAGCCUGCCAGGCCAGGCAGGACUGAAGCUAAGGUCCACACUGCUGCUCUAGGUAUCCAGGCAUGGUUUGAAAUCGUAAGUGAAAUAGGAAGCUUUCCUCUUUCCAUCUUCUCUUACAGCUCCCCAGAGCUGGACCUGGAGCUCUUCUCCGCCCAGAGGUGAGGCACUCAGACCCUGGUCAUAGAACUGACAGGCUGUGGAUGUCAAGCCUUUCACACUACCAGAGCCUGUGCUGAGCAGAGUCCGUUAAAGCCCUAGCAAAGUUU